GACGAACGCUGGCGGCGUGCCUAAUACAUGCAAGUAGAACGCACAGUUUAUACCGUAGCUUGCUACACCAUAAACUGUGAGUUGCGAACGGGUGAGUAACGCGUAGGUAACCUGCCUGGUAGCGGGGGAUAACUAUUGGAAACGAUAGCUAAUACCGCAUAAUAUUGAUUAUUGCAUGAUAAUUGAUUGAAAGAUGCUAUUGCAUCACUACCAGAUGGACCUGCGUUGUAUUAGCUAGUAGGUGAGGUAACGGCUCACCUAGGCGACGAUACAUAGCCGACCUGAGAGGGUGAUCGGCCACACUGGGACUGAGACACGACCCAGACUCCUACGGGAGGCAGCAGUAGGGAAUCUUCGGCAAUGGACGAAAGUCUGACCGAGCAACGCCGCGUGAGUGAAGAAGGUUUUCGGAUCGUAAAGCUCUGUUGUAAGAGAAGAACGGGUGUGAGAGUGGAAAGUUCACACUGUGACGGUAUCUUACCAGAAAGGGACGGCUAACUACGUG
rnacentral:rRNA from 1 species